rnacentral:tRNA from 1 species
GCUGUCACGCCGGUAUGAACGGAUUACUUUGAUGAAGUAAAAAAUGAGAGAAUUCUCUGACAUCUC